rnacentral:lncRNA from 1 species
GGGCCAGCCACUGCAGCCACAAGCAGAGCAAAGAUCCCAAAAACAUUGAAGCCAGAGCCUCGGAUACUUGGCUGAAGCUGUGUCUUAGGUGCUUGAGUUUAUAAAAUUGAGUUUGGCAUCUCAGAGAGACAGACUUUUGCCUGUUUUUUUCUUCAUGGCUGCUUCUCUCUUUGUUGCCUAAUAAGAAACGAACAAAUGUCACACAUUUCAGCAGAAUCUGUCUCUGGUCCUGGUCUGAUACUUCACAGCCGUGAACUCCUGUAUGAUACCCUGAUGCUAAUGACUCACAUGCUGCCAACUGAAUGGAUGUGGAGGCAUGCAGUAGCAAAGAAGAAACACUUCCAAGGAUGUGGCUCUGUGAGAGAGUGGAGAGAGUGUUUACCUAGUGUGCACAAAGCCCUGAGUUCAAGCUGCAGCAUAAAAAAGUGUGACCAAAAUCAUAACAAAAUUGGAAUCAGAGAUGUGUUCUCCUCCUAUGCAGACCGAAGGAAGAAAAUCCUCUUAGUGAAUCUCCUUGACGUGUUCAAGAAAGCAUUAUCUUUACAGCUUGGAGUUUGUGAAGUCCACAGACUAAGGACGCACCAGCAGGGAGGAAAGCGCUCACUUUGUCCCUGCCACUUCACACUCAGGGUCACAGGCAAUGACAGAACAAAACUGGCACCACAGAUCAAAUUGCGGAAACAUUGGUUUUGGAUCCUUGUACUUUUGCCUCUGAAGUCUCCGCAGGGGGGUUCCUGUGGUCCCUCUCUGGUAGAGCCUCACAGAUUCCAUCUGAAGUGUAGUUGCUUGCCAAAUCUACUCAUCAUCCCCCUGCUCCCUGACUGUGGAACCCAACUACCCCUCUCAUCUUCAAGGAGAAUUAUGCUUUAUGCUCCUCAUCAACAAAAUAAAAGGUCAAGCCCUUAA